rnacentral:lncRNA from 1 species
CAAAGAGUUGUAGUAUUCUUGUUUGUUAUAAACUUAUGUUAUAAGUUGUUUGUUUCAUAUCCUUGCUGGUCCUCUUGGAGCUCAUUGUUAGUGGGAUUAUUUUCUUGUUUAGACAUGUCUAUUGUGUAGAGGAGAGAGAGUUAGUAAGGUUAGGUGAAAGAAUCAUCGAAUUUGGAGUUGAAAUAAAAAAGUUAUGAGG